rnacentral:lncRNA from 1 species
GCCCCCCCCCUCAAAAAAAAUGUCUUAGGCACAUAUGUACUUCUGCUCUGAUACACUUUUCAGUGCUAAGACACAGUUCAGUGAAUAUCAUUUAGGAAUCAUUUAGAAAAAAUGAAAUGAAUGAAAUACGCAUUUUACAAUCUUCACAGGACCGAAGAGAGGCUGGCUGAGACCGCCGCUCAACUUCAGGUGGUGAGAGAGCUAAAUAGACCUCAAGCUUUGACUACAAGACCAGUCCUGGAGCCACCUCGUGCUGGAAAUCUUCAUACCAUUUCAGUGUUUAGUGGAAAUCUUACUCCAAGAGAAAACUCAGUGGCUUCUACCGCACGUUCACAUCCUCCAAAUAACAGCAUCGAUGCUUUCUUGACCAAGAAGCUAUGGCUUUCACAAGAUCUAUCUAGGUAAGUUGUCACAUUAUUCAUUUUAUUCGGCCUCUCUGUAAUGCUGUUGUAAGAAAAAUGUUAUGGAAAACAUUCUAAAAAUAUUGGAACCUAUGUUAGCUAAACCAAGGGUGUUGCCUGUCAUGUUGUCACUAUCAGCACAGUGUUAGGUUCAGGAUACUAUUUUAGACACUGUUUAGUGAGAGAGUGCCUUUCAUAAGAAAAACCUUAAAAAGGACACUCCAGGUAGAGACACUUGUAAUAUAGUUUGAAAUAUUCCCACACAUUACAAAAUGAAGUAGAGAGCUAUCAUUUGAUGUUGCCGAAAACUGGCCCUAAUUUCUAGAAUGAAACAAAAUUACAGGUAAAGAAUCAAAGAAUCCUGUAUUGUUUUCCUUGUUUCUAAUUCUAGAAAGCCAUGAGUCCGAAACCCAGUUUGAAAACUGGUUUUAGCUCCUCUUCUUCCUUUCUUCAAGCAGAUUUUUAUUUUCAUGUUUAUUUAUUUUUUUGCCAGUAGAGUUUUCACAUGCCAUUGCAACAGAAAUGGCACUUCAUUUUAUGGAUUUAAGAUUCUGUGUUGACAAGUUCUUAAUUGACAUAGGGCAUGCCUUAAAAUCUUAGUUCCAUAAAAGUAGAGGGACAGAGAGCUCAUUUUAAGGAAAACUCCUUUGAUUAAACUUUUAUAAAGGCCAGUUUUCCUAAAAAUUGCAAAGUAAAGCAUUUGUUGAAAUGCCCUGAUACCAGAAAGAUCAAACAGCAUCCUCUGAAAUUAUGUAUAUUCGGUUGACCAAUAUAUAUAUUACUUUUUAUCAGAUUAAUCUUAAUAGCAUUACGUAUGUAUGUUCUCUACUAUCUACAAUCCAAAUAAGUGGGAAUUUAUUUUAUUUUAUUCAUGUGACUAAUUUUCUAUUUGAGCAAUCUCUAAGUUAGAUCAACUCUCUAAAAGUAUUAUUUAUAGGCCACAUUUCAUAAGCUAUAUGUCUUUUAUAUGAUACUGUCUCUUAACCUAAACAUUUUAAAUACUA